rnacentral:rRNA from 1 species
CGUAGGGCGCAAGCGUUGUCCGGAAUUAUUGGGCGUAAAGAGCUCGUAGGCGGUCCGUUACGUCGGAAGUGAAAACCCGGGGCUUAACCCUGGGCCUGCUUUCGAUACGGGCGGACUAGAGUAUGGCAGGGGAGACUGGAAUUCCUGGUGUAGCGGUGAAAUGCGCAGAUAUCAGGAGGAACACCGGUGGCGAAGGCGGGUCUCUGGGCCAUUACUGACGCUGAGGAGCGAAAGCGUGGGGAGCAAACAGGAUUAGAUACCCUGGUAGUCCACGCCGUAAACGUUGGGCGCUAGGUGUGGGGGUCUUUCCACGACCUCUGUGCCGCAGCUAACGCAUUAAGCGCCCCGCCUGGGGAGUACGGCCGCAAGGCUA